UGAGGAAUCUUGCGCAAUGGGGGAAACCCUGACGCAGCAACGCCGCGUGAGUGAGGAAGGUCUUCGGAUCGUAAAGCUCUGUCAGUUGGAAAGAAAUGUCUGAGAGUCAAUCCCUUUCAGGCUUGACGGUACCGACAGAGGAAGCACCGGCUAACUCCGUGCCAGCAGCCGCGGUAAUACGGGGGGUGCAAGCGUUGUUCGGAAUUAUUGGGCGUAAAGAGCGUGUAGGCGGCCGGAUAUGUCAGAUGUGAAAGCCCCGGGCUUAACCCGGGAAGUGCAUUUGAAACUGUCCGGCUCGAGUAGGGGAGAGGGAAGUGGAAUCCCUGGUGUAGAGGUGAAAUUCGUAGAUAUCAGGAGGAACACCGGUGGCGAAGGCGACUUCCUGGCCCUAUACUGACGCUGAGACGCGAGAGCGUGGGUAGCAAACAG
rnacentral:rRNA from 1 species